rnacentral:rRNA from 1 species
AUACGUAGGGGACGAGCGUUGUCCGGAAUUACUGGGCGUAAAGGGCGCGCAGGCUGUGCUGCAAGUCAGCUGUUAAAUGUCUGGGCUUAACCCGGGCAUGCGGUUGAGACUGCGGUGCUGGAGUGCUGUAGAGGCAAGUGGAAUUCCCAGUGUAGCGGUGAAAUGCGUAGAUAUUGGGAAGAACACCGGUGGCGAAGGCGGCUUACUGGACUGUAACUGACGCUGAGGCGCGAAAGUGUGGGGAGCAAACAGGUUUAGAUACCCUGGUAGUCCACACUGUAAACGAUGAAUGCUAGGUGUAGGGGGUAUCGACCCCUUCUGUGCCGCAGUCAACACAAUAAGCAUUCCGCCUGGGGAGUACGGCCGCAAGGUUGAAACUCAAAUGAAUUGACGGGG